rnacentral:rRNA from 1 species
UACGAAGGGGGCUAGCGUUGCUCGGAAUCACUGGGCGUAAAGGGCGCGUAGGCGGCGUUUUAAGUCGGGGGUGAAAGCCUGUGGCUCAACCACAGAAUUGCCUUCGAUACUGGGACGCUUGAGUCUGGUAGAGGUUGGUGGAACUGCGGGGUGUAGAGGUGAAAAUUCGUAGAUAUUCGCAAGAACACCGGUGGCGAAGGCGGCCAACUGGACCCAAUACUGACGCUGAGGCGCGAAAGCGUGGGGGAGCAAACAGGAUUAGAUACCCUGGUAGUCCACGCCGUAAACGAUGAAUGCCAGCCGUUGGGGGGCUUGCCUCUCAGUGGCGCAGCUAACGCUUUGAGCAUUCCGCCUGGGGAGUACGGUCGCAAGAUUAAAACU